rnacentral:rRNA from 1 species
CCUACGGGUGGCAGCAGUAGGGAAUAUUGCUCAAUGGGGGAAACCCUGAAGCAGCAACGCCGCGUGGAGGAUGAAGGUUCUAGGAUUGUAAACUCUUUUUUUUAGAGAAGUUUAUGACGGUAUCUAACGAAUAAGCACCGGCUAACUCCGUGCCAGCAGCCGCGGUAAUACGGCGGGUGCAAGCGUUAAUCGGAAUCACUGGGCGUAAAGAGUGCGUAGGCGGGGUAAUAAGUCAGAUGUGAAAUCCUGUAGCUUAACUACAGAACUGCAUUUGAAACUGUUACUCUGGAGUGUGGGAGAGGUAGGUGGAAUUCUUGGUGUAGGGGUAAAAUGCGUAGAGAUCAAGAAGAAUACUGAUUGCGAAGGCGACCUGCUGGAACAAUACUGACGCUGAUGCACGAAAGCGUGGGGAGCAAACAGGAUUAGAUACCCUAGUAGUC